CUUCUGCUGGAGAGAAUAUAAGAGGCUAUAGAAGGGUACAAUAAAGAGUAUGCAAAUGUGUGUCUGAACAUUUCUUUUUGCUUUUCAGAGAAUUAAUUUCAGGAUCCAUCCACUGAAAGUUGACAGCGAGCCGUACUUCGUUAAACACUAUGCUACCAGUCAAGACUCAGGACAUUAUACCUGCACCGCGAGGUCCAAAGAAUCAAAGUUUCCUUUUGCCAAGGCAGACUUUAUAGUAAAAGUUGUGGAAUCAGAAUCAAGAUCUAUGCAUUUGCAUCACCCAGAUAUUGAGGUUCUUCCCACUGUUUUGUCUGGCGAUAUCAAAGAAGAAGACGGAGAUGAUGAUGAGUUUUAUACGUCGAUUCUUAUUGCUGUUGUCUAUGCCGCUAUAUUAAUCAUGGUUAUGUGUGCAUUUGCAAUAAUCUUAAUGAUUCGGAAAAAACGUUUGAAAGACAUCAAAGAAGUUGCAAAUCAUAUGAAAGACAUUAAGCGAACGC